GACGAACGCUGGCGGCGUGCUUAACACAUGCAAGUCGAACGGAAAGGCCCUGCUUUUGUGGGGUGCUCGAGUGGCGAACGGGUGAGUAACACGUGAGUAACCUGCCCUUGACUUUGGGAUAACUUCAGGAAACUGGGGCUAAUACCGGAUAGGAGCUCCUGCUGCAUGGUGGGGGUUGGAAAGUUUCGGCGGUUGGGGAUGGACUCGCGGCUUAUCAGCUUGUUGGUGGGGUAGUGGCUUACCAAGGCUUUGACGGGUAGCCGGCCUGAGAGGGUGACCGGCCACAUUGGGACUGAGAUACGGCCCAGACUCCUACGGGAGGCAGCAGUGGGGAAUAUUGCACAAUGGGCGGAAGCCUGAUGCAGCAACGCCGCGUGCGGGAUGACGGCCUUCGGGUUGUAAACCGCUUUCGCCUGUGACGAAGCGUGAGUGACGGUAAUGGAUAAAGAAGCACCGGCUAACUACGUGCCAGCAGCCGCGGUGAUACGUAGGGUGCGAGCGUUGUCCGGAUUUAUUGGGCGUAAAGAGCUCGUAGGUGGUUGAUCGCGUCGGAAGUGUAAUCUUGGGGCUUAACCCUGAGCGUGCUUUCGAUACGGGUUGACUUGAGGAAGGUAGGGGAGAAUGGAAUUCCUGGUGGAGCGGUGGAAUGCGCAGAUAUCAGGAGGAACACCAGUGGCGAAGGCGGUUCUCUGGGCCUUUCCUGACGCUGAGGAGCGAAAGCGUGGGGAGCGAACAGGCUUAGAUACCCUGGUAGUCCACGCUGUAAACGGUGGGUACUAGGUGUGGGGUCCAUUCCACGGGUUCCGUGCCGUAGCUAACGCUUUAAGUACCCCGCCUGGGGAGUACGGCCGCAAGGCUAAAACUCAAAGGAAUUGACGGGGCCCCGCACAAGCGGCGGAGCAUGCGGAUUAAUUCGAUGCAACGCGUAGAACCUUACCUGGGUUUGACAUGGAUCGGGAGUGCUCAGAGAUGGGUGUGCCUCUUUUGGGGUCGGUUCACAGGUGGUGCAUGGCUGUCGCCAGCUCGUGUCGUGAGAUGUUGGGUUAAGUCCCGCAACGAGCGCAACCCUUGUUCACUGUUGCCAGCACGUUAUGGUGGGGACUCAGUGGAGACCGCCGGGGUCAACUCGGAGGAAGGUGGGGAUGACGUCAAGUCAUCAUGCCCCUUAUGUCCAGGGCUUCACGCAUGCUACAAUGGCUGGUACAGAGAGUGGCGAGCCUGUGAGGGUGAGCGAAUCUCGGAAAGUCGGUCUCAGUUCGGAUUGGGGUCUGCAACUCGACCUCAUGAAGUCGGAGUCGCUAGUAAUCGCAGAUCAGCAACGCUGCGGUGAAUACGUUCCCGGGGCU
rnacentral:rRNA from 1 species